rnacentral:rRNA from 1 species
UACGUAGGGGGCUAGCGUUAUCCGGAAUUACUGGGCGUAAAGGGUGCGUAGGUGGUUUCUUAAGUCAGAGGUGAAAGGCUACGGCUCAACCGUAGUAAGCCUUUGAAACUGGGAAACUUGAGUGCAGGAGAGGAGAGUGGGAUUCCUAGUGUAGCGGUGAAAUGCGUAGAUAUUAGGAGGAACACCAGUUGCGAAGGCGGCUCUCUGGACUGUAACUGACACUGAGGCACGAAAGCGUGGGGAGCAAACAGG